AGAUCAUAAUCAUUUAAUCUCCCCCAACCCCAUACCAAGAGACCACAGCAUCAGCUAGAAGAAACAGAUUCCUAACUCAACUGGAUUCAUCAGUCCACUGACAACCAGAAACUGACUGGGAAAGAUUCUCCCAAACAGCACCUUGUUAUAACAAGUUUUCCAAGCCACAGUAAAGAAAGCACAAAGACAAAAAAACAAAAAAAACAAAAAAACUCUGAUUCUGGAUUUUUUUUACCCUGAUAAUUUGUGGUAGGUUUCUUUAUUUUUUUGAAUAUAAAGUGACAGAAAUAAUUUGCCAUUAGAAAAGAGAAAGAAUCUUUGACUAUUUACAGCUUUUAUACAUCACAAAGUUUUUCUUGUUUUUAUGUUGUGUCUUUUUUUUUUUAAAUUCAUUUUAGUUUUUGUUCCUGCAUCAUUUGAACAAGUCCAAACUGGAAAUCUAUACAGCUCACAAAAAAGCCCUCCACCCAAAAGACCCCCCACCCCCACCCAACCCCAAUGAGAAACAAGAUAAAUCAAAAGAAUGAAAUCAACUUAUUUCUUUUUUUAAAGGUAAGUCAUUUGCUUAUAUAUAUACUUGUAAUUAUUUUUUCAAGUUCAAACACCAAAAUCCAAGAGAGAAAGGAAAAAAUAAAAAGACCCAGUCAUCCACACCCUCCCCCCACUCCAGAAUCUCAAUUGACCCCUGCACGUCCAAAAUAAGAAAUAUAUAUUUACAGAAGACAAAAACAAAACAAAUAAACAAAAAAGAACUUGGAGGUGGAUGGGCUGGGGAUCUGAGAGUCAAGAGGAAGGAGAGCUGGCUCCAGGGGUGGGAUCUGGGCCUCACAGAGUCAAGACAAGCCUGAGUCAUCUGUGUUUUCCCUGGGGAGGAGACCACAUUGGGAAAGCUAUGAAGGUGUCCCCUCUGCCAUGUUACCUUGGCAGGGGUGCAGCUCUGGGUUUGCAACCCAACCCCAUAGUGAAUUUGUAUUCUGUGGCUUCCAUUAUCACCCCCUCACACUCACACACAUGUGCGCACCCUCACAGGCACACACACACAUGCUCCAGUCAUUGUGGCUAAGUCUAAUAUGACACUACUGGAGCAUUGGCACCUGUCAAGUGGAGGAAAAGAGAUUUGCCCUUAGGGACAAGAGCUCAUUGCCCUACACUGUCUAUUCUCUGCUCUCCACUGUAACAUGCCAUCUAGCUCCUUGAAAUGUUUCCACAAGCGUCAUGGCUACUCUGAAGUAUUAAUGCUGGAAUGGUCUUUGGCUAGCAAAGCUCCUAUGAAGAUUUGCCCCCUACUUCCUGCAAAUAUCCUUAACAGACAGGUGCACCCAAUUAACCAGGUACAGGAGGCAACCUAAAUGAGGGGAAAUCUGAGGCAGAGGCAAAGGAAGUCAUGUUGUUUUCUGCUUGCCUUUGAAAGACUGCAUUCCCAGAGGUCAGAAAGCAGAGAGGGUGUGAGAAAACCCUCCCUGGCUAGCUUUCUUUGCUUCCUUCUUCCUUCCUAAAUAUGGUUCUAUUAGUCUUCAGUGCAUAAAGCACAGUGUAACCCCUUGUCUUGGUUGCAAUAUCCUUCCAAUACAAGAACUCAAGAUGUGGCAUUAGACAAGCCCAGUUGAACACAAUUUAAUCUUUUGGGGAAAAUGCCAGGAAGGACAUGACCAAGUUAAGGGGUCCCUUUACUGGAGGACAGAGAAGCUGAACCAGCAGCAGCAGUGGUUGUGAUAAAAUUCAUGCCCUGUUCAAGAUCUGUGGAGGCUUGGAGAACUAGUCCACUAGAAAUGAUUGAACAGCUUCUGUCUCUCUUCAAAUUAUGAGGUUUUUUUUUUUUCCCUAAGGGCACAGGAAAUAAAAUAGAAUCAGCACACCAUCUGUGUCAGAAGUAUGUGGAAUGUUCCUGGGGGCAGGCUCUAGGUUGCUCUUGCUAAAUCUCUAAAUGACAACACUUGGGUUUUUUCCCCUGCCUCUCUUGGUCAAGUUUCUGAUUUGUUCAGGCCCUCCCUAAAAGCCCUCACUUGUCCCUGUUUCAUGGAGUCCCACUCGAAGUCCUUUUCUUCCUAACUCUCUUUUGAUCUUCUAAACCUCCGCCCAAAGCUUUUAAAGACUUUAGAUCAUUUCCUUACGCUACUGUCCCACUGUUCCUCUCUGUCACAAAAGAAAAUACUAAAUAAAAACUAUCAGUCAGAGAAAACAUUCAUUUCGUAGAAUUGGGCAGAGGCAAAGCUGCUUUUCAAUCCUUUUACUUUGAUUUUUUUAAAAGAUAAACAGUGAGAAAGGUGAACAAAGAAUUAUGAUUCCCCUAAGGAAACCAACUUAGUUGGGAGCCUUGAAAAUAAAAAGGAGAUUUACUGUGAAAAUGUGUUCUUUCCAGGGCAAAUAGUCAAAAUGUGGCCUCAAUCCAGGAUUACAUUUGCUAAUAUCUAUAAAAAUAUGUUGUGGACUACCAUAGACGGCAAUGGAAUUUUUCGUGGAAGUUAAAAAAAACAAACAUCAGGAUUUAAGAAGAGGCACUAGAGUUCCAUGUAUUGCUGGCAAGACCCUACCUCCGGCAGUCAUAGCCUUACCCCCUCAAUCUGACAAAGAGACCACCAGAACUGACCCAAAGCACUGGUAAGUCUUGCUUGGGACAGUCACCAUGAGGAGCCCAAGACUCCCGGAAUAUCCCUCAUCACUCAGAACUUUCAUCCCCAGAUGACCAUGUACAUCUCUCAUCUGAGCUCAUUUCCCAUCCUUUACAAACUCCCCAAAUCCUUCCAUGAGUCCACGCUUCUCAUCAGCCACAGCCCUGAUGAUUACUUUCACCUCCUUGCUCUCACUGAAACUUGGAUCUUCCUUGAGGAGUCUGGAGCCCUCUCAAGUGGAAGGCAUUUCCUGUCCCACAUUCCCCAUGCCACUGGGCCUGGAGGUGGAGUAGGGACCUUCCUUGCUCCUCAUUGCCACUUCCAAACCAUCUUCUCUCCCUCUUUCUUAAAAAUCAAAACUACACAAAGUAACAAACCAGCUUUGAAACACAUCAGACUACCAGCUGCUUCCCCUACUUGAAGCAGUAAUUUAAAUAUUCUUGACCACUCUUAUUCUUGUCACUGCCUUAAAUACCAUUCCCGUCAUAAUUUUUGUUGACCUCAAUAGCCACAUAAAUCAACGUUCUAUAUCCUGGCCUCUCAGUACCUUGGCCUCUGCUCCUUCAGCAACCUUGUCCUCUAUCUAACCUCAGCCCAACACUCCACACUAGAUCCCAGAUCAUGUCACUACCAAUAACUGGCACCUCUCCCUAAUCUCAGCCUCAAGCAUCCCACUCUCUGACUCAGCUCCUAAUUUCAAGAUUACUCCUUCUUGAAUCUAAUUCAAUAAUUUGGUAAUCCCAGCCUGCCUCUCAAUCCCCUGCCCCUCCAACACUUCAUUAUUCCCCCAUUCUUUAAAAAUCCUCACUUUUCUCCUCACUCAGCUUAGAUUCCAUGGCCCAUCAUUAUAAUCACUACUUUUCAGUUCCCCUUGACUCCGUGUCUCUUGCUGCCUUCAUUGCAUUCACACGGUUAAACCCCAACGCUGCUUAAAUCCAACUCUCUACCCAAGCAGCUGAACGUAGCUGAAGAAAAUUUCUUUUCAACUCAUGACCAUAAGAACCUCAAGGAAGUCCUUCAUGCCACCUAGCAUGUCUCCUCAUUCUUCUGCUGGAUGGCUAUAUGAGUAAUUCAUGCCUUCUUCUCUUCCCAGAUCUCCAAACACAUUCCCCAAUACUCACUUUAGCUGAUGAACCCCCUUUGUAUUUCACUAAAAAAUUAUCAGUCAAAAAAGACAUAUGCCCACCAUCAUAUUUUCCAUCCCGCUUGCAUCUGUGGCCAAAUACACUAUCUCCCUCCUACAAUCUGAUUAGGCUCCUAAAGCCAGUCCCUUCACUUAUGCACUGGAUCCGGUCCCCUCUCACUUCAUCAAAGACAUCACUCCAGCAAUUAUUCUUUCUCCCUAAGCAUCAUCAAUCUUCCUUCUCUCUUGGAUCAUUCUGGUCAGCAUAAAACAGACUUAUUUCUCCCAUCUUAAAAGCAAUCCCUCCUUGAACUCCAUAUCCUUUACCAUCUACUGCUAUUUCUGUGUUCCCUUUACAGCAAAACUCCUGAAAGAGUUGCCUCUUCAUACUGUCUCCACUUCCUCCGCUCCCACUCUUUCUUGAACAGACUUCUAUCAUGCUUUUGUCCCUACCAGUUCAUGGAAACAGCUCUUUUCCAGGUCAUCAGUGGAAUCACCUCCAUGUUUCUAGAUGAUCUGAUUCAACUCAAUAGUAGCACUUACCCCUGUCCACUCCUCCCAGUGCUGGUUCCUCCUCAUCUCCUGGGGCUCUGAACACUCCUCAGGGCUCAGGCUUGGGAACUCUGUUCUUUUUGCACUCACUCCCUAGAUCCAGUCUCAUGGCUUCAAAUACUAUUCAAAUGCCUAUGAAUUCCAAAUUUAUACCUUCAGGAUCUGCCACUUCUCCGCCAGGUUCACAUAUCUGAUUGCCUUAUCAGUAUUUCCACUUGGAUGUCUGAUGCACAUCUUAAACUUAUUACAAGGCUCUCUUCCCUAAUCUACUUUACCUACUUUUAAUUCCCAUCUUAUUAAUGAUGACUCCAAACUUCCAGUAGCUGAGGCCAAAAAUUCUAGGGUCAUUUUUGAUUCUUUUCUUUCUCACACUCAAUAUCUAAUUCUUCAGCACACCCUUCAAAAAAUAUCUGCAGAAUCCAACCACUUCUCACUACCUCUGCUAACACCAUGGCCCAAGCCACUAUCAUCUUUUACCUGGGUUAAUGUAGUAGCCUCCUACCUGGUCUCACUGCUUCUUCCAUCACGCAUCCUCUCACAGUUCUGCUCAACACAGCAGCUGCAAUGAUUCUUUUAAAAUAGAAGUUGAAUCAUAUCACUCUCUACUGAGAACCUUCUACAACUUCUCAUCUCGCUCUUGGUAAAAGCUCUUACAAUGGCCUACAAGGCCCUACGAUGCCACCUCUCUGACCUCAUCUGUCACACUCUCCUCCUCACUCAUUGGCCUCCUGGCUACUCCUCAAGUAUAUCAAGCACAUAGUUUGACCUCAGGACCUUUGCAAUUUCUUUCUCUUUGCCUGAAAAACCCUUCAUAUAGAAAGCUCCAAGGCUCACUCCCUCAUUUACUUUAAGCCUUUGCUUAAAUGUCACCUUUUCAUAGAAACUUCUCCUGUCCACCCUAUAAAAGUAACAAGUCCACAUCCAUCCUAUCACCUCAUACCCCCAUUAAUCUGCCUCAUUCUUCUCCACAGCACUUGGAAGUAUCUGACAUGAAGCAUAUUUAUUUAUUUCUUCUAUAUUUCCUCUCAAUAUGUAAGCUUCAUGAGGGCAUGCACUUUGUGUUGUUCACUUUGUAUCUUUGUUUUUGGCAUAGGGUUUCCACUCAAUAAAUAUUAAUGCAUGAAUAAACCAUCUCUCCAAAUCAUGCUUCUACACUGCAAGCCAAAUCUCCCAAAAUAAAGAGUUUCAGUAAAAAAAAAAAAACCUGGAUAUUUAUUCUAAACUUUAACCAAAUUUCUAAAUGAUAAGAGCAGAGCUCACUUUCCAUGCUUCUUUCUGAUUUGAGAAUUGUCCUUGGAUUUAUUAUUAUUUUUUAAUAAUUAUGAAAGAAAUGACCUCGAGUCUCAAUCAACGACUCUCUGCCCCUCUCCUCCUGUUGCCUGACUCCUAAAUCCCUUGUGGAUACAGUAGAAUUUAUAGAGACUCUGAAUAUUUGGGAGGAUUACUUAACAUCUUAGCCUUUCUGGUUUGCUCAGAACAUAUGAUCUACUGCCCUUCAAUGAUAUUUUAUAGCUUAAAAGAUUAUGUCUAAGUCAGUAAAUUCGAUGUUAAUAUGUGUAAGACUCAAGAUUAAAUCAAUCUGUAAGAUGCCUAUUUGUAAUCUAAUCUACCAAUUUUCCUCCUGAAGUAAAUAGUAAUCAGAUUAGAAACCUGGUGUUUUCACUGGGGAUGGGAAGAUAUAAUUUUAUUUAAAAGAUUUUCUCUCUCAGAGGUGACCUAACUGUGUGAUCCAAAAUCAUUCUAAAAUUGAAAAAAAGGUUCAGCUAACUCUAUUCCCCUGAUAUAUGUUGUUCUCCACAGUGCCCUUUGGGUUCCCCAUUUCAGUAAAUGUAAUCAUAAUGGGUCUAAGGCUCUUCUACUCAGAAAAUUCUUGACGAGAAUGGAAAUCUUUGCAGAGGAGCUGUCCUAAAGGUUUGUAGAUGAAUUUUUGAAGAGUUAAGGUACAGUGCUUAACAGUGUCUUCCUGGAAGGAGGCCUAUACCUCUAAAGUCAGUCCGUCACCAGUCUUCUGAACAAUCAAUGGCAGCACAGCUUCUUCUGCUGGAGCUCAUAGGGGAAGCAAGCAAAUCUCUUAUGGAAUAAACCAGAGCACCUGGAUGUUGGGGUCAUUGUCUCCUCACCCCAAAACCAUUCUACCCCGAUUUCUCCCUUCAUUGCUUUUAAAUUUUUCUCCGCUCAGCGAAGACCAUUUUUCAGAAUCAAGUUUUUUGUCUACUUGUCACUGAAUCUACUUCCUAUUUCACCUUCUCUCUCUCCUUCCAAUAGAUGCACAAUAUUUAUGGUUAAAAAAUAACACUGGUAAGAUAUCUAGAAACUAUGCAGCCUUAGAGCCAAGGAGAGCUGAGAAUAGUGUCAUAUCACCAGCGCAUUCAAACUGAAACCCAAACAUCCCCUAUCACACAGGGCUUGCACUUUGAAACAAAAUAAGAGAGAGAAGACAAUGACAACCAUAAAAUGCCUCCACGCACAUGACAGGCACGUCAGUCAAAGCUGUGGUGCACAUUCUCACAGAAGUUGCUUAAUACUUCAGAGCACACCCCUCUCCACCAGCAGAACUGCAGGCUCUUACUGGAGGGCACACACUUUCUCAAGACCUGACCUUGAGUUGAAGCAUCUGGUCAUAAGGCCUUUUUCAUCUGCUUAUCACUCUCCUUUUUACCAUCUCUAUCUUCCUAUGUUAAAAAAUAAUGAGAAAACCAUGAGCAGUUACCAAGGGUUUCUUUCAACAUCCUAAUAGUUUCUAUAAUAAUUCAGCUUAAGGAAUACAUCCCUCCUUUGCAGGGAACGUGGUGAGGAGGGGAGCCAAAACCAUGAAUAGGAACCAGGUGAGCUGCCAAGAAGGCUGAGAGGUGAGGAAGAAUUUCCAUGUAAGGAAUCUGGAAGGUUCAACGAUAAAAUCCACUUUGUAAUAGCUAAGAACAUAGGUAUUUUGAUCUAUUUCCUAUUACAGCUAUCAUUCUUUUUGUUUGGCGCCAACCACUGAAAUUUGUUUUGGAAUCACAGCUGCCAGGAAAGGAAAGAAGAGAACAAGGGCCUGAAAAAAGACAUAGCUCUGGGGGAGAGAAUAAGAACCUAAAAGAUGGUCAGGAUUAAAUGAAAUAUGCUGAUUCUAUUUAUUCUUCUUGAAUUUCUAUAGAAAACUUUGCCAGUAGGAUGUUUGGUUGGUGGUGACCAGAUAGACUUCCCCACGAUGUGGAAAAAUAAAAAAGAAACAAAGGAAAUCAGUAAACAAUGAUCACUGUCCCAGAAGAUCAUAGUUUUGUUCUCCGUCUCAUUUAUCUUCCCAUCUACCAGGCCUUACCCAAACAGAGUUAUGAAGACUAUUCUUCCCUGUAAGCUACAGAAAGCAAGAGGCCAAGAAGAGGUGUGAGCAGACCCAAUGUCAGUGACCAAAUGGAGAAGCCUGGCUUGGGAAGAAAUCAAAACCACAAUAUCAGAGGAAUUAUAUUCUGCCCCCAGUCUCAGGGAGAAGUUUAUGCUCAUGUGGAGGCUUCUGCUCAGCAGAGUGUCCUGGGCUCUGAAAUGAACUUUACCCUGCCUUUCCACAGGACACCUAGCACCCAGGCCCACUAAAAUCUACCCGAAAUGGGAAGGUGCCCUCAUUUUUAUAUAUACUCUCAGCUGAGCAGCUUUGGUCUUGUGCAGAUACGGAUUUUCUUUGUAAAAUUUUUCCUUCAUAAUGCUUCCCUUAGCUAUCUUUUUGGUAGCUAUGUUUGAGUUUGAGAAUUAUCUUUUUCAUUUCUACCAUAAUCUUUGAUACUAAUCACAAGAGCUCAUAGUUUCGAUUAAAUAAUUCUUUGUUGUUUCAUGCCUUUAGGAUCUCCAUGAAUCCUUUUAUUUCCCCUCCCCAUGAAUACAUCUGUAGCCUAACAGGGAAUGGUCAUCUCAGCGGACUAAGGUGUUCCAAAUGCUCAUCAGCUGUUGGCUCUGUUACUUGUCAUAAAGGAGCAUCAUGAUCCAAGUGUCUAUAAUGACACUCAUGUGAAGGAUGAAGUCACCAUGGAGUCAAGAUAGAAUAGCCCCUGCCCCUCUCUCUUAGCUUACUAUGAUACCAUCAUGAUUUCAUGUGGCUUAUUAGGAGGCAAAAAUGAGAGAAGGGAUAUUUGUAACUGGCUUGAUUCUAAACUUUGAGCUUAAGGAGAGCUCUAGUAGCCUCCUCUAUCCCAUCCCCACGCAUGGGAAUAAAACUUGCCUCCUCUCUCUGCCCAUAUUCUUUCCUGAAGCCAGGCUCUUGAACUAGGCUCUGGGAAUGACUACACCGUGAAACUGACGUAAUAGAAGACUCGCCACUCACCCAUAUUCUACACACCAGAGACCCAAGGCUAUGAGAAAUUCUACUCAUCCACUCUGCCUUCCACCUUCAGUUCUCAUCAGGAGUUCUCACCCUCAUAAUCACACCAGCAAUUAUGUUUUAAAGCAUGGAACAGCACCAGAAACUCACUGUGAUGAGCUCUCAGAUGGAUGCAAAUGGACACACUGGCAGAGAAAUGUGGAUGAUUUCUAACUUUGCCCGCUUAUUCCCAGUACUGCUAUCCUAACUCAUCACUCUUGGGGCAAAACUGUUUUUCUUUGCUUCAAUAUUAUAAAUCUGAGACCCCAAACUUCACUAAUCUAUCCAAGGAAUGGAAAUAGCCCUGACUUUCAUAUAAGGUUUUUGAAGGGUUCUUUGUCAUGAGAAUAAAUAAGUUUAUCUACUUUAAGUCACAGAACCCAUAGGGCAUCUGUGUGGUUGAGUCAACAUGGUUGGAAUGAGAUGGAGGUGGGAUAUAUUCAAAUAUCCAGUGAUUUUAUAUAAUACUGGAACCCCCAAACUAGAAUGGAAUCUUAGAUCUAGAUUGGGUAUUAGAAGUUCUCAGACUGACAAAUCUACAAUUUAGUGAUGUCCCAAAUAUCUGGUAGGACUAAAAAGGAAUUGCCCACUGGUUAAGUUGCACAUGGCAGUCCAGUAUCUCCUUAACAGUUAGCAUGUGUUGGGAUCAUUGGGCACCCCGCAUGGAGGUGGGGAAGUACAGAAUAUAGAACAACUCAGCUGAACUGGAAGAUUGAAUGGGGACAGAGAACAGAUAAUUAUAGUAACCUUUUAUUAUCAUAACAUUAAUUUAAUUUGAUCUUUUUAGUUGCUUAUGCAGUAACCUGUAAUGGAGGAGAAGCAUCAGUCUUCCAUUUUCUAUAGAAAGAGUCACAGUCCUUACGCCUGCCCUACAAGGCAUUGACUUUAGAAAUUCAUAAACUAGAUACUCAUGUGACUGCUUAUUGAGAAGAAUUCCUAGCUCAGAGUCCUAUUCCUGUGUCACAUGAGCCUUAAAUAAAAGCAGGUAGAAGAUGAGAUAUGGUUUAAAUGUCUUUAUACUUUAGAACCUGUACCUUCACUCCCUUGUCUAUUACUCUUAGUGUUCUUUGCUCUCUCCCUCUUCUCUUGCAUCAUUACUUUAUUCCCAGGAAAAAGAAUCAGAAUCCUAAUGUAAACUAUGUGCUUAAAUGUAUAAAUCUCUAAUAUGGCUUAACAUGUUACCCUUCCUGGGAUUAUUUUCAUUUAAAUGACAGAUGAGCAGCUCAGUGCUAAAGGAAUAUAUCCAUGUGGGAAGCCAGUAGUUGGAGUGGAGUGGAGAGUAAAGGGAAGGUUUCCUUGGGACCUCUGAAAUCACACCAUGGACCAUAUACCGUUUGUAAGGCCAGACCCAUUCCAGUAUAACUGCCCAUCUUAAGCUGAUUCUCAUCUAUAAAGAGUUCCUCAGACAGGAAGAAGAGUCUAUGACAUUCAAGUGAAGAAAGCAAAUGCUCUCCCAAAGUAUUUGGCAGUCUACUGAGCAAACAUUUGUUAUAUGGCUUUGGGCUCAGAGAGCGUGUAAGUUAUGGCCACAAAACCUGGAAAUGCCUAGUGUACUCAUCAAUAGUACUGCAGCUGCAUUAUUUAUGCACACAUUUGAAUCAUUCCUAACACACCAAACAGACCAUACAGGGUGUUAAGGAAAAACAGGGCUUUUUUAGAGGGAAGGGGAUUAAAAGAAUAAAGUGAUUCCUGGAGUAGCAUUUUCCAGAGGCUAUUGCCCAAUCUGUUCUUCUUUCCCUGAAUCCUGAACUAACUAAAAAACAAACAAAAAGCAAAAAGAGAAACCCUAGUUUUUAAAUGAGAUGUGCAGGUGACCAGCACACUGCAGUUUUGGUAACAUGGUUUCUUCACCUCCCAUGCAGAGAAUUACCCCUUAGGCAACUCCUGAUGACCAUGGAAGACUGGGUAGGUGAUAUUCACUUAAUCAUAUAGACGACUCAUAUUUUAUCACAUUGCACAUGCGUUUUGGCACUACUAAACCACCAACAUUUAAUGGAAUCAUUUGGGAUUUUUUUCACCUAAUUACAACAUGGCUGUGGC
rnacentral:lncRNA from 1 species